UACGGGGGGAGCAAGCGUUGUUCGGAUUUACUGGGCGUAAAGGGCGCGUAGGCGGCGCAACAAGUCACUUGUGAAAUCUCCGGGCUUAACUCGGAAAGGUCAAGUGAUACUGUUGUGCUAGAGUGCGGAAGGGGCAACUGGAAUUCUCGGUGUAGCGGUGAAAUGCGUAGAUAUCGAGAGGAACACCUGCGGCGAAGGCGGGUUGCCUGGGCCGACACGUGAC
rnacentral:rRNA from 1 species